AACCUGCCUCGAGCUCUGGGAUAACACCGGGAAACCGGUGCUAAUACCGGAUAUGAACAGAUAAUGCAUCUUCUCUGUUGGAAAGUUUUUCGGCUCGAGAUGGGCCCGCGGCCUAUCAGCUUGUUGGUGGGGUAACGGCCUACCAAGGCGACGACGGGUAACCGGCCUGAGAGGGCGACCGGUCACACUGGGACUGAGACACGGCCCAGACUCCUACGGGAGGCAGCAGUGGGGAAUAUUGCGCAAUGGGCGAAAGCCUGACGCAGCGACGCCGCGUGAGG
rnacentral:rRNA from 1 species